CAAUAGCGUAUAUUAAUGUUGUUGCAGUUAAAAAGCUCGUAGUUGGAUUUCUGGUGGGAGCGGCCGGUCCGCCGUAAGGUGUGUACUUGGUUGUCUCCUGUCAUCCUUGUGGGAACUGCUCUGGCAUUAAGUUGUCGGGGUUAGGGAACACAUCGUUUACUGUGAAAAAAUUAGGGUGUUUAAAGCAGGCUUAUGCCGUUGAAUACAUUAGCAUGGAAUAAUAAGAUAGGACUUUGGCGUCUAUUUUGUUGGUUUGCACACCAAGGUAAUGAUUAAUAGGGAUAGUUGGGGGUAUUCGUAUUUAAUUGUCAGAGGUGAAAUUCUUGGAUUUAUGAAAGACGAACUUCUGCGAAAGCAUUUACCAAAGAUGUUUUCAUUAA
rnacentral:rRNA from 1 species